rnacentral:rRNA from 1 species
CUACGGAGGGUGCGAGCGUUGUUCGGAAUUACUGGGCGUAAAGGGCGCGCAGGCGGCUUGAUAAGUCAGAUGUGAAAGCCCACGGCUCAACCGUGGAAGUGCAUCUGAAACUGUCUGGCUUGAGUACUGGAGAGGAAAGUGGAAUUCCUGGUGUAGAGGUGAAAUUCGUAGAUAUCAGGAGGAACACCGGUGGCGAAGGCGACUUUCUGGACAGAUACUGACGCUGAGGCGCGAAAGCGUGGGGAGCAAACAGGAGUAGAAACCCUAGUAGUCC